GUUGUAUUUUGUUUUUCCCUCCCAGGCUAGUCCAAUCAUCUCUAGCAAGUCUCAGAAGAAACAGAGAAUUUGCUCAUUUUCUGCAAUAAAGUCUUAUUUGGGCCUUUGUUUGGGACAUGCAUUUUUACUUGUCGGUUUAUGACUGUGUGAGGCACCGUGAUGACAGGAGCCACUGAAGAAAGGUAUAGCAGUUCUAUGAGGAAAGAACCGAGAAAGAAGAAAGGAGAUCCUUCAUAUUUAGAUGGCCAUUUUGAACUAUGAAAACAAAUCUUUCUUCAAACCACCAGUGUCUUAUAAUCAGAAAGGCUACACAGUGCUCAACAAUGAAACCACACAAAGAAGAAUCGUUGAGAUUGAAGCAGCAGAGCCACAAUAAACAAGUUGCUGGAGAAAUUAGCCUUUGGUUCUAACAUCUGUUCUAUUACCCAGGAGAUACUAAGCCUUGAAUAUCACAAUAUAAGAAAAAAGUAUAAUUGAUUGUACUGAAUCAAUAGCUCGUAUGAAGAGACAGCUUUCAGUAACAAUAAAAGAUCAUCUCCAGAUCUUCUCUUUUUCUUAAGAAAAAGCAUAUACAUAUGCUUCAAUCCACAGUGGUGUGUGCCCUGAUAAACACACUGCAAAUUAGAAAUAGCGCAAGUUGAAAUGGGAUUUAAUAUAACCUUACCAAAGAUGAAGUCUUAAUUUGAACUAUCUUCAAUGUGCCCAGAACACUAAUGUUAACCUACAGUACGACAAAAUUACCUAACACAAAGGCCAUUUUACAAUAAAAUAUUGAA